GACGAACGCUGGCGGCGUGCCUAAUACAUGCAAGUUGAGCGCUGAAGGUUGGUACUUGUACCAACUGGAUGAGCAGCGAACGGGUGAGUAACGCGUGGGGAAUCUGCCUUUGAGCGGGGGACAACAUUUGGAAACGAAUGCUAAUACCGCAUAAAAACUUUAAACACAAGUUUUAAGUUUGAAAGAUGCAAUUGCAUCACUCAAAGAUGAUCCCGCGUUGUAUUAGCUAGUUGGUGAGGUAAAGGCUCACCAAGGCGAUGAUACAUAGCCGACCUGAGAGGGUGAUAGGCCACAUUGGGACUGAGACACGGCCCAAACUCCUACGGGAGGCAGCAGUAGGGAAUCUUCGGCAAUGGACGAAAGUCUGACCGAGCAACGCCGCGUAAGUGAAGAAGGUUUUCGGAUCGUAAAACUCUGUUGGUAGAGAAGAACGUUGGUGAGAGUGGAAAGCUCAUCAAGUGACGGUAACUACCCAGAAAGGGACGGCUAACUACGUG
rnacentral:rRNA from 1 species